rnacentral:rRNA from 1 species
UACAGAGGUCUCAAGCGUUGUUCGGAUUCAUUGGGCGUAAAGGGUGUGUAGGUGGCGCGCUAAGUCGGGUGUGAAAUUUCGGAGCUUAACUCCGAAACUGCAUUCGAUACUGGCGUGCUUGAGGACUGGAGAGGAGACUGGAAUUUACGGUGUAGCAGUGAAAUGCGUAGAUAUCGUAAGGAAGACCAGUGGCGAAGGCGGGUCUCUGGGCAGUUCCUGACACUGAGACACGAAGGCCAGGGGAGCAAACGGG